rnacentral:rRNA from 1 species
UGGACCUACGGGAGGCAGCAGUGGGGAAUAUUGCACAAUGGGGGAAACCCUGAUGCAGCGACGCCGCGUGAGUGAAGAAGUAUUUCGGUAUGUAAAGCUCUAUCAGCAGGGAAGAUAAUGACGGUACCUGACUAAGAAGCCCCGGCUAACUACGUGCCAGCAGCCGCGGUAAUACGUAGGGGGCAAGCGUUAUCCGGAUUUACUGGGUGUAAAGGGAGCGUAGACGGCGAUGCAAGUCUGAAGUGAAAGCCCGGGGCUCAACCCCGGGACUGCUUUGGAAACGGUAUGGCUGGAGUGC